UUGGAGUUCAAGGCAUCAUGUCAGCAUACACCUCUUCCCUUUACAGUGUUUCCCUUGCUGGACCAACUAUGUUUGGGCCUGUUAUCAACAAAGCUGCUGAAAUUGCUACCCAGUCCCUUCAAUACGCAAACAACAAAUAUUUCGUCCUGCUCAUUAUCACGGAUGGGGUUCUGACUGAUAUUCAAGAAACAAAAGAUUGCAUUGUGAGGGCAUCAGACUUGCCAUUGUCGAUUCUCAUUGCCGGCGUUGGUAAUGCUGAUUUCAAACAAAUGGAGGUAGAGCAAAAUUUCGGAAAUCUCCAUUAUUGACAAAUACAAAAUAUUCUGAAUAUUUCCCUGUCAUCUUCACCCUGAUCAAACACUAUGCACAUUUACUUUAUGCUGUAAGAGAAAUCAUUGUAUAGACAAAAAGGACCCAAACACCUCACGAUGUUUACUUUUUUCCUAGCUGAGCUGUUGCAUGUUGUGUCUGCCCAUAUGGGUAUAGUAGUUUACUCUGGCAAGUUCAUUGCAACACGGCUCUGCACUUCUUUAA